GUAAGGGCAUGUAGGCGGUCUGUUAAGUCUGGUGUGAAAGCCCGGGGCUCAACCCCGGAAGUGCAUCAGAUACUGGCCGACUUGAGUAUGGGAGAGGAAAGUGGAAUUCCGAGUGUAGGAGUGAAAUCCGUAGAUAUUCGGAGGAACACCAGUGGCGAAGGCGGCUUUCUGGACCAAUACUGACGCUGAGAUGCGAAAGCGUGGGGAGCGAACAGGAUUAGAUACCCUGGUAGUCCACGCCGUAAACGAUGGGUACUAGAUGUUGCGGGUAAUCACUCCUGCAGUGUCGCAGCUAACGCAUUAAGUACCCCGCCUGGGGAUUACGGCCGCAAGGCUAAAACUCAAAAGAAUUGACGGGGGCCCGCACAAGCGGUGGAGCACGUGGUUUAAUUCGACGCAACGCGAAGAACCUUACCUGGGCUUGACAUCCCGAUCGUACUCUAUGGAAAGAUAGAGGUCAGCUUGGCUGGAUCGGUGACAGGUGCUGCAUGGCUGUCGUCAGCUCGUGUCGUGAGAUGUUGGGUUAAGUCCCGCAACGAGCGCAACCCUUGUCCUUAGUUGCCAUCAUUAAGUUGGGCACUCUAGGGAGACUGCCGGUGUUAAACCGGAGGAAGGUGGGGAUGACGUCAAGUCCUCAUGGCCCUUAUGCCCAGGGCUACACACGUGCUACAAUGGCCGGUACAAAGGGCAGCGAUACCGCAAGGUGGAGCAAAUCCCAAAAAGCCGGUCUCAGUUCGGAUUGGAGUCUGCAACUCGACUCCAUGAAGUUGGAAUCGCUAGUAAUCGCGUAUCAGCAUGACGCGGUGAAUACGUU
rnacentral:rRNA from 1 species